rnacentral:rRNA from 1 species
AUUGAACGCUAGCGGCAGGCCUAACACAUGCAAGUCGAACGAGUGGCGGACGGGUGAGUAAUGUCUGGGAAACUGCCUGAUAGGGGGGGAUAACUACUGGAAACGGUGGCUAAUACCGCAUACCAUCGGAUGUGCCGAGAUGGGAUUAGCUAGUAGGUGGGGUAAAGGCUCACCUAGGCGACGAUCCCUAGCUGGUCUGAGAGGAUGACCAGCCACACUGGGACUGAGACACGGUCCAGACUCCUACGGGAGGCAGCAGUGGGGAAUCUUGCACAAUGGGCGAAAGCCUGAUACAGCCAUGCCGCGUGUAUGAAGAAGGCCUUCGGGUUGUAAAGUACUGUCAGCGGAGAAGCGGUACCAGCAGAAGAAGCACCGGCUAACUCCGUGCCAGCAGCCGCGGUAAUUC